UGUUGCCUCGGUCAAAAUUUUCAAGCUUAGUAUAUAUGUAAGUUGGGAAUGCUAAUAUAAACACUCUCCAUCCAACUUGAGGGAGAUCAAGUUUUAGAGUUAAUACAUUUUAUUUGUGUUUUAAUGUUUAGUAACAAGUUAAAUGAGACAGUUGGGAAAAUUAGUUUCAAUGUACUUCGUAUUUAUAUAAGUAGAGCAUCUCAUAUGAGCAAUGUGUGAGAACGAAACUCCUAUGAGGUGUGAAUGACAUGUUUGAACACAAAAAAAAAUGAUUGGUAGAAAGCACGACGUAUGAUAGUCUGAUGACCAGGACGGUGGAUAUCAAUUUCCUUCAGUUAAGAAUAUGAGCGCUAGCGGCGAGUCUGAGGAGGAAAUGGCGUCGCCGUCAAGCCAGGAAAAAGGAUCCUUUUGUGAGAAGCACGAAAAAAGUUAAAAUGAAUGAGCUAGAAGAUGGCACCUCAGACACCUUAUAAGGAUAAGCUACUUAACCAUGAGGGUUCCAUAGAGAAGGAUGGGGUUGUGUCAGACGAGCUGGGUAAGGAGGCUAAGGAUGAUAAUAGUAGGUCUCUCUGAUGAAGAGUGGCAAGCAUGGUCCCAACCAUGGCUUAAGACAUUGUGGUGAAAGUCUUGGGUACUUGGGUUCACUUUAAGACACAGGACUCGAAUGGGUCUAUCAAAAUCAUAGACAUGUUACCUUGUGCAGUUUCUACGGAGGAGGACUACAAGCAUGCUAUCUAUGAAGGUCCAUGCAUGGAUUGUAGCGGACCAUUAUAUCAUUGUUCAGAGGUGGCGUCCCUUCUUCCUUAUAAAUGCUGAGAAGGUCAAUAAAGUGGUUUGUGGAUCAGAAUCCCUAGGUUACCUAUUGAACUCUGCAAUGAUAGGUUCUUGGGGAGGAUUGGUUCAACAUUCGGGACCUUACUAAAAAUUGACUAAUUGAACUUAA